UCUGGGAUUAGAUACCCUGUUAUAAAAUAUGUAAAUUAAAAGUUUUAGGUAGUAUUAGUUAUGUUCUUGAAACUUAAAAUAUUUGGCGGUAUUUUAAUCUAUUCAGAGGAACCUGUUUUAUAAUUGAUAAUCCACGAUGGACCUUACUUAAAUUUGUUAUCAGUUUAUAUACCGUCGUUAUUAGAAUAUUUUAUUAGAAUGAUAAUUUUCAUAAUUUUUAAUAAAAAAGUAUAUCAGAUCAAGGUUUAGCUAAUAUUUAUGUAAAAAUGGGUUACAAUAAAAUUAUUUAUGUGGAUAUAAAUUUGAAAUAGUUUAUUAAAAUUGGAUUUGAUAGUAAAAUUAUAAAGAUUAAUAAUUUGAUUUUAGUUUUAAAAUAUGUACAAAUCGCCCGUCACUCUCUGA
rnacentral:rRNA from 1 species